rnacentral:misc_RNA from 1 species
GAUGAAGAACGUAGCGAAAUGCGAUACGUAGUGUGAAUUGCAGAAUUCAGUGAAUCAUCGAAUCUUUGAACGCACAUUGCGCCCUUUGGUAUUCCAAAGGGCAUGCCUGUUCGAGCGUCAUUUGUACCCUCAAGCUUUGCUUGGUGUUGGGCGUCUUGUCUCCAGUCCGCUGGAGACUCGCCUUAAAGUCAUUGGCAGCCGGCCUACUGGUUUCGGAGCGCAGCACAAGUCGCACUCUUUUCCAGCCAAGGUCAGCGUCCAACAAGCCUUUUUUCAACUUUUGACCUCGGAUCAGGUAGGGAUACCCGCUGAACUUAAGCAUAUCAUAAGCGGAGGA